rnacentral:rRNA from 1 species
AGAGUUUGAUCAUGGCUCAGAAUCAACGCUGGCGGCGUGCCUAACACAUGCAAGUCGAACGCGAAAGUCCCGCAAGGGAUAAGUAGAGUGGCAAACGGGUGAGUAACACGUGGGUGACCUGCCUUCGAGCGGGGGAUAACGUCCCGAAAGGGACGCUAAUACCGCAUAACAUCCUGCCUUUUAAGAGGUGGAGAUCAAAGCUGGGGAUCGCAAGACCUAGCACUUGAAGAGGGGCCCGCGUCCGAUUAGCUAGUUGGUGGGGUAAUGGCUCACCAAGGCAACGAUCGGUAGCCGGCCUGAGAGGGCGGACGGCCACACUGGGACUGAGACACGGCCCAGACUCCUACGGGAGGCAGCAGUGGGGAAUUGUUCGCAAUGGGCGCAAGCCUGACGACGCAACGCCGCGUGGAGGAUGAAGAUCUUCGGGUCGUAAACUCCUUUCGAUCGAGACGAAUUCCUUUGCGGUGAACAAUCGCGAAGGUUGACGGUACCGAGAGAAGAAGCCCCGGCUAACUCCGUGCCAGCAGCCGCGGUAAUACGGGGGGGGCAAGCGUUGUUCGGAAUUACUGGGCGUAAGGGCUCGUAGGCGGCCAACUAAGUCAAACGUGAAAUCCCUCGGCUUAACCGGGGAACUGCGUCUGAUACUGGAUGGCUUGAGUUUGGGAGAGGGAUGCGGAAUUCCAGGUGUAGCGGUGAAAUGCGUAGAUAUCUGGAGGAACACCGGUGGCGAAGGCGGCAUCCUGGACCAACACUGACGCUGAGGAGCGAAAGCCAGGGGAGCAAACGGGAUUAGAUACCCCCGUAGUCC